AUACGCAUCCUUUGCUGAGGAUACGGUUAACGGAGCGAAAGCGACGUUCAGCCGCAAAAGAAGCAGAGGGGGCUUAGUGGUGGGGUGACUGCGUACCUUUUGUAUAAUGGGUCAGCGACUUAUAUUCUGUAGCAAGGUUAACCGCAUAGGGGAGCCGGAGGGAAACCGAGUCUUAACCGGGCGUUAAGUUGCAGGGUAUAGACCCGAAACCCGGUGAUCUAGCCAUGGGCAGGUUGAAGGUUGGGUAACACUAACUGGAGGACCGAACCGACUAAUGUUGAAAAAUUAGCGGAUGACCUGUGGCUGGGGGUGAAAGGCCAAUCAAACCGGGAGAUAGCUGGUUCUCCCCGAAAGCUAUUUAGGUAGCGCCUCGUGAAUUCAUCUCCGGGGGUAGAGCACUGUUUCGGCCAGGGGGCCAUCCCGGCUUACCAAUCCGAUGCAAACUGCGAAUACCGGAGAAUGUUAUCACGGGAGACACACGGCGGGUGCUAACGUCCGUCGUGAAGAGGGAAACAACCCAGACCGCCAGCUAAGGUCCCAAAGUCAUGGUUAAGUGGGAAACGAUGUGGGAAGGCCCAGACAGCCAGGAUGUUGGCUUAGAAGCAGCCAUCAUUUAAAGAAAGCGUAAUAGCUCACUGGUCGAGUCGGCCUGCGCGGAAGAUGUAACGGGGCUAAACCAU
rnacentral:rRNA from 1 species